AUUCAGAGCAGGGCUUUGUCGCAAAGUGGGACCGAGCAGUUGUUUUCUUGUUCCAGCUGAUGGGAGCAGGCAAUUAGUGAGAUCAGCAGCACUCAUUGUUAAUUAGCAUUUCUCCAUGUGCUUCUUGUUAUCUACAAGCAUCCUGUUCCUUUUAUUGGCCUUCUUACCUAUAGUACUUGCUUUGGAGCAGCACCUUGAAGCAGACUUGGGCUCUGCUAUGGGUAAGCCUACUGUUUACUCAUCAUCUGAUGCUGUGCAUCAUCCCCCCUGAGCUACCAGGAGAGUCUCUUAAUGGUGUACCAGUUAAGGCCCCAUGGUGUCCAUGAGUUGGAGUUCAGGGGUUUUGAUCUAUUGGUUUUCAAGGAAAAAAAGGACUUGCUGUGUUCAUUCAAGAGGUGUCGAUGCUCACUCCUGCAGCCCUGCUGGGGCAGCAGCCUGGUGAGUGAUGCCUCUGUUCAUCCCCAUGCUUAUGGCACAGCAAGAGAGAGGAUUUCAUCCCUGCUGUCACCUCAGCACCAUCCACCCCUGCCAGAGGCUUGGAAAUUAAAAUAAUAAACAAAGCAACUAGAGCUGUGUGUAGAGGCUAAUGUACCAUAAUGCUCCAAAACCCAGGCAGCCACCACCCCAUGCUGAGCAGAAAGGACGUUUGAAAAAUGCAUCUUCCUCUGACAGUGAUUAUUUCAGCAUUACCUUUCUUUUAUUUUUCUUUCUACUUCAAAUAAUGCCUUCAGUUUCCCCCAGCUCAUCAUCUCCUUACAGAGAAGAGCAGAGGGCAGGGGGGAAAGGCAGAAUGAUUCCACUUCUUAAUGCAGUCAAUGGGAUUUGAAGCCCAUACACCUCUCAGGGCCUGAUCCUUGCAGUAUGGAUGGGGUGGCUGUGCUGGGACUGGGGACACAGCAGACUCUGAGCACUGAGGUUUUGUCAGCUCCCCAGCAGAGCUGUCCCUCCUCCUCUUUUUGAAAACAAACCUGAAAGUGCACAGCCAGAACCGCUGGCUUUGUUGAAAGAGCAAAAUCCACUUCGAGAUGCCACUUCUCCAAUUCAUGAACUAGCAUGGUUAUAAAGUGAAGCCUUGGGCACAAUGGCUCCAUUGUGGGGAGAAAACUUUCCAGCAAGAGGGCCAGGUCUCCAAGACCUGCAGGAUGUGGUUAGAGACUCUUUUUAAUGAAAUCACUCUUAAAAAGCAGGAAGCCCUCUGAGAAGUCUUCGUCUUGAGCAACUAAGAGCUGAAGUCCAGAUUGUAUGGCUGGCUCAGAGGAAAGAAAAGGGGAUGGAAAUGGCAUGGGUCUCACUUGGAGGAUGGAAAGUAAAGGAGGGAAGAGGAUGGACGGGACAACUGCUGUCUGGAGGAAGUGAGUUCCUGCCCAUCUGAAUAGCUGGGUGGAUUUCCACCUGGUUGCUCCAAAUGGAACCCAUAAACCAACCCAGUGGGAGCAGCUUUCAGCUGGACCUUGACAUCCCCUGGCCAGCUCCGUGCUUUGAGCACGCUGCAUGCUGGAAUCUCUGCAGGGAAACGAGCACAGGACUCCAUUGUGCCUGUGGAACCAGACAAAAUCAUCAGCCACAACAUCAGGGGAAAUAAAACCAAAUGGAUGGUAAUGCA
rnacentral:lncRNA from 1 species